UUGUCAGGCCCUCCGUUAUGCAUCACUGACAAGGGGGAACGACGCCGGAAAAUCUGGAUGAACUUUGAUUGUUCUUUCUCAGCCAAUGGAAUACUGAAUAGAGAAGGAACUACAUUUUAUUUUUUGUACACUCACAGGGUCGAGAGAUGAGGUUUGUUAUCUACGGCUAUUCAUUAGCCCUGUUGGUGCUGGAAAGGUUUUUAUUGCUUGCCUAGUUUAUUUGAAUUGAACCCGUUCUGGAUUGUGUCUUACAACAACCCACAGAUACCCGCUACAACAUAAUACAAAGAGACAAAAUAAGUCAACCCUGGUCAAAACCUUCUGAUGACUUCAAAGACAAAGUCUGUG